GCAGAGGGGGUGCUGAGGUGGUGCGGUAUUGGGGAAAUGUCUGAAGAGCAGAAGGAGUUUCUGGACUGGUAAAGUAUAAUUGUGGUAUUUUUCAAGUGUCCACAGCAAAUGAGAUGCUGAAGGGAACAACAAACCCCAGUCGUACGAGCAAGAUACCAGAGGGGAGAGCAGUCCCUUAUGGGUAGCGAUGCAGUUGGAGGGCGAGAUCUUACUGGUGCAUCUGCUUUCCAGCUUCUGUAGUACUCUGCUAGUCACCUCCUCAAAGCUGCAUGUAUGCAUGUAACAAAAAACCCCAAAGCCUGCCACACCGCGAUGUCUGUCUGGAGCCGGCUGCUGCUGGAGCUGCCCCAGCCCGUGCCUCCCAGCAGCCAGGCGCUCAGAUCGAGCUGUCCCUCGCGUGGGGACAGCAGCUCCCCCGGGGGAUGGAGGACCAGAGCAUCACAGGGGAUGAGGCGAAGUGCCCGCCAGGACUCCAUUAGCUCUGACGCCUUCUCUUUAUGACGGACCUGUAGCUUCCCUUGGCGCUUAUUUUGAUGGCUUUCUUUCUCCCCCCAUCCCCAUGAUCUCCAUGUCUUGACUUUUUCAGGCACUUUUCUCCUAUAAGAAUAUUAAGCAUAUUUAAAAAACACUUAAAUGCUAAUGUGAAACCUGAAAAGAGGAUGUCAAACGCAAGAGACACUCUGAAGACAUGAUGUCUCUGUAGAAGGAUUUGACCCUGGUAAUCUAAUUUGCUUUACAUUUCAAAUGAUACUUCAUUCUCUUAUUAUAAGGCUCUGUGUCAUUGGCUCAUAAAGAUUACAAUUUCUUGUCUCCCAAUUGUAAUAAAUCCAAUUCAAGCACCCUCUUGAUUUGAAAUUUGUCACAACAACAUGCGGAGGGCACAGUUCCUGAGUUUUAU